GAUGAACGCUGGCGGCGUGCUUAACACAUGCAAGUCGAACGGAAACAGGAUGAAGCCUAGCGAUUCCUGUUUUAGUGGCGGACGGGUGAGUAACGCGUGGGUAACCUGCCUUACACUGGGGGAUAACAGUUAGAAAUAGCUGCUAUUACCGCAUAAGCGCACAGGGCCGCAUGGCCUGGUGUGAAAAACUCCGGUGGUGUAAGAUGGACCCGCGUCUGAUUAGCUAGUUGGUGAGGUAACGGCCCACCAAGGCGACGAUCAGUAGCCGGCCUGAGAGGGUGAACGGCCACAUUGGGACUGAUACACGGCCCAAACUCCUACGGGAGGCAGCAGUGGGGAAUAUUGCACAAUGGGGGAAACCCUGAUGCAGCGACGCCGCGUGAGUGAAGAAGUAUUUCGGUAUGUAAAGCUCUAUCAGCGAGGAAGAAAAUGACGGUACUUGACUAAGAAGCCCCGGCUAACUACGUGCCAGCAGCCGCAGUAA
rnacentral:rRNA from 1 species